UACGUAGGGGGCAAGCGUUGUCCGGAUUUAUUGGGCGUAAAGAGCGUGUAGGCGGCCAAACAGGUCAGCUGUGAAAACUCGAGGCUCAACCUCGAGACGUCGGUUGAAACCGUUUGGCUAGAGUCCGGAAGAGGAGAGUGGAAUUCCCGGUGUAGCGGUGAAAUGCGCAGAUAUCGGGAAGAACACCUAUGGCGAAGGCAGCUCUCUGGGACGGUACUGACGCUGAGACGCGAAAGCGUGGGGAGCGAACAGG
rnacentral:rRNA from 1 species